UACGUAGGGUGCGAGCGUUAAUCGGAAUUACUGGGCGUAAAGGGCGCGUAGGCUGUGCUGUAAGUCAGGCGUGAAAGCCCCGGGCUCAACCUGGGAAUUGCGCUUGAUACUGCGGCGCUGGAAGGUGGGAGAGGAUGGCGGAAUUCCCAGUGUAGAGGUGAAAUUCGUAGAUAUUGGGAAGAACACCGGUGGCGAAGGCGGCCAUCUGGCCCACAAUUGACGCUGAGGCGCGAAAGCGUGGGGAGCAAACAGG
rnacentral:rRNA from 1 species